AGUGAACGCUGGCGGUAGGCCUAACACAUGCAAGUCGAACGGCAGCACAGUAAGAGCUUGCUCUUACGGGUGGCGAGUGGCGGACGGGUGAGGAAUACAUCGGAAUCUACUUUUUCGUGGGGGAUAACGUAGGGAAACUUACGCUACUACCGCAUACGACCUACGGGUGAAAGCAGGGGAUCUUCGGACCUUGCGCGAUUGAAUGAGCCGAUGUCGGAUUAGCUAGUUGGCGGGGUAAAGGCCCACCAAGGCGACGAUCCGUAGCUGGUCUGAGAGGAUGAUCGGCCACACUGGAACUGAGACACGGUCCAGACUCCUACGGGAGGCAGCAGUGGGGAAUAUUGGGCUAUGGGCGCAAGCCUGAUCCAGCCAUACCGCGUGAGUGAAGAAGGCCUUCGGGUUGUAAAGCCCUUUUGUUGGGAAAGAAAAGCAGCAGGUUAAUACCCCGCUGUUCUGACGGUACCCAAUGAAUAAGCACCGGCUAACUUCGUG
rnacentral:rRNA from 1 species